CUGCGAGUGACAGGGAUUAGCCCAGCACCGAAGCCUGUGGUUAUUUGACUGCAAGGCAAUGUGGUGUUUAGGUUUGUUCUUGGCAUUACUGCUCUGCCCCAAGUCCAGCAAUGAGUACGGCAUACCGUUCUGGCCCAUAGAGGGUGAAAGGCCCGUGGGGGUAGAGACCAAGCAUGACAGUUUUGUCCAGAGCUUACCUUGGAGUCGGGUUGUUUGAGAAUGCAGCCCAAAGUGGGUGGUAAACUCCAUCCAAGGCUAAAUACUUGCACGAGUCCGAUAGUAAACAAGUACCGUGAGGGAAAGUUGAAAAGUACUUUGAAGAGAGAGUAAACAGUGCGUGAAACCGCUCAGAGGUAAACGGGUGGAGUUGAACUGCGAUCCUUGGGAAUUCAGCUGAUGAGCAUGAUUUGUGCUUGGGNCAUAUUGACCGCCCUUUCAGUGUCUGCUUAGCUGCGGGUGCCUGCCUCUGGUGGGUAUGUGUGGUGCGCUUAUCAUGUGCCGCACGCAUUGGAGGGUGUAUGAGUCUGCUUGUCCGGUGCACUUUCUCAGGGUGUUCACCACGACCGGCACUGCUGUCUGUCUGCUUUGGUCAAACUGAUCAGGUCUGAUUAACGUUGGGCUUGGUUGGGGUGGCAGGUGACUCACUGGUCCAUUCUGUGGGCUAUGAGUGUUACUAGCCGGCUUUAGUGGAUCUGUACGGUGUGUCGGAGACGGCGGCUUUGCAUAUGCGCUCUGUCCUUCAGGCGUGGUUGAGUCUGGUCGACUUGUUGCUAGUUUCGGCUGGUCAGUUGAUGGCUUGAUCAUGUUCAGUUGGCAGUGGUGUGUGUGUCUUAGUUUGGGCCAAUAGUCUGUGGUGUUGUGGUAGACUAUCCACCUGACCCGUCUUGAAACACGGACCAAGGAGUUUAACAUGUGCGCGAGUCAUUGGGCUUUACGAAACCCAAAGGCGCAGUGAAGGUAAAGGCUUGGCUUGUCCAGGCUGAGGUGAGAUCCUGUUGUUUUGCUCAUUCAUUCCAAGCUGCGAGCAGCAGGCGCAUCACCGGCCCGUCCCAUGACGUAGACAUGUGGCCUUGUGCUAUGUGCACCGUCGGGGCGGAGCAAGAGCGUACAUGUUGAGACCCGAAAGAUGGUGAACUAUGCUUGCGAAGGUUGAAGCCAGAGGAAACUCUGGUGGAGGAUCCGUAGGCGAUUUCUGANCGUGCAAAUUCGAUCGUAUAACGUGAGUAUA
rnacentral:rRNA from 1 species